GGCCUAGUGGCCUAAUGGAUUAAGGCAUCAGCCUUCGGAGCUGAGGAUUGUUGGUUUCAGUCCCAUCUGGGUCA
rnacentral:tRNA from 1 species